AUAUCCCCCACCAUCAGGCGGAGCUGAUCGACCACAUUGUUCUUCGGAUCGCCUGUGUAGGGCAUAUCCUACUCCUUUUCUCGGGACCAAAAAAGGGGGCCCGAAGGCCCCCGUUUUCUUAGGCCGCUUUGCCUUUCACGACCAGUUGCGGGUACAUCAGGACGUUGAUGAAGUUGGUCUCGGAGUUAAUCUCCAGGAACUCACCUUUCGGGUCCACGUACUCGAACGCGUAGCUUUCUUCGCCGGGGGUGUUGACGUGUUCGAACUUGCUCGCCGGAGCGAAGAAGGUCUUGAACAGGUCUUCGGUGCCGCUGCCGGGGAUGAAGACAGCUUCACCAGCCGGAACGUAACGGCGCUUCUCGCCACCCGGACGGCCUUGGAAGCCACCACGGUACUCGAUGUACAGCACGUUGCCGAAGUAGAACUCACGGUAACGGGCGUCGAAGCCACGGGCACGCAGGCGUUCACGGAGAAUCUGCGGCUGGCUGGCGUAGUAUUUGUACGCCUCAACCACGGUCGGGUGGCUGAUCAGCUUGCUGAAGAACUCCGGAGAGCAGAUAGCGAUAACAUCGCCAACUACGCCGCCAGUGUAGGCCUCGUCCUGCAUGUGAGCGUAAACCAGCUCGCUCUUCUCCAGGAUGUUGGUGGUCGGGGUGUCCAGCUCGAAGUUGACUUCGAAACGG
rnacentral:antisense_RNA from 1 species